UACGAAGGGGGCUAGCGUUGUUCGGAAUUACUGGGCGUAAAGCGCAUGCAGGUGGAUCGCUAAGUCAGGGGUGAAAGCCCGAGGCUCAACCUCGGAACUGCCUUUGAUACUGGCGAUCUUGAGUCCGGGAGAGGUGAGUGGAACUCCGAGUGUAGAGGUGAAAUUCGUAGAUAUUCGGAAGAACACCAGUGGCGAAGGCGGCUCACUGGCCCGGUACUGACAC
rnacentral:rRNA from 1 species